UUUUUAAAAUACAAAAAACUGAUUUUCUCCAAAAAAAAUUUAAAAUUACUUUUUUGGAAAAUUACAAAAAUCGAUUUUACUUUCGAAAAAUCUCGUUGUAUGUGUAUGAACUUGAUGCAAAAAUGCGGAGCUCGAUGCCGAGAGACCGAGUUUGACGCAGAGAAAUGGAGCUUAGAAGAAGAGUGAUGAAGCUCGAUGCAGAGUGAUGAAGCUCGAUGCAGAGAGAGAACUUGCUGGGCUUGGUGAAAAGAACUGAGCCCUGAACCACGAUGCAGGGUGAACAUGUUAACAGGGUCAUGCACAGUGGGACUGAAACGCAUGACAUAUCAUAUUGGAGGCUCGUACAGGAUGGUUGCUAUGAUGCUUCUAAUCUCAACAAAUGGUGUAGGAUGCACGGUGUUGACGCAACAUGUUGCGAAGUGCAAUAAUCUAACCGCGCAGCGAGGACCUGUGGUGAUCUCGACGUUUCUAGGUGUCUCGUUCCUUGCAGGCUGAUCCGAGUAUAUUGGAAUUCGACUUGGCAGCGCUGUAAGCAAGGGCUGCUUGCUAUGUCAUGGUUUCAAGGCAAGGUUUCUAAGACUUGGUAAAUGACAAGUGAGCAAACUUGUGCAAAUAAUAGUGUAACUUGUUCAUGAAGAAAAAUGGUGGUAGAAUCACAUAAAAAUUAAAGAAUGAAGUUGUAAUGUAGUAUUAGGGAUUU